CCUCGGCCCGGGCAGGGCCGAGGUACAGUGGUAGAUGGCGUGUACCGCCGUCACCCACCAGACGGCGACCGAGAGCAGCCCUUUCGCCUCCCCAAUCAGCGUGAUUGGGGGACACCUGGCCGGUGGCAGAGUAGCCAUAUUAAAAGGAGGUCAAGGACAGACAGGAGGGGAGCACGGCAGCGACGCGGAGAUAGAGGCUCACGGAGACCCUAUAGGACUGAAUGAUUGUGUUCCAUGUAAACCAUAAUUGCCUGUUGCAAUAAACGCCGCGAACGGCUUUAAACCCUGUUCUACACUAAAGACUUUUUGAAGUAAAGAGGAGCAUCUCAUCUGAACCUGAUGUCUAUCAUGGAUAUUUAACUGCAGUUCUGUGAGUAUCCCAACUUAACCAUGAAGAUGAACUGCAAACUGUAAGUCAUUAAUUUCUCUUUAUGGGCACAUUGAUGUAUUUUGGCUUCAUGGUGAGUUAACCUGUUACCUGAAGGUUGAUCUGAGUAGUAAGGAAGUUUUAUUGGUUCAUGGGUUACCUAGGUGUUUGGUUUAUGUUGCUUUUAAUGAUUUGGUAAAAGGCUCCAAGUUAUUGUUGUAAGCUGGAGUAAUGAGUUUGGUUCUGAUAUCAGUCUUUUCAGCUACUCUCCUGAUCUCUGCCUCUUCAUUAAAUGAGUGUUGCUUUGCUGAUGACGGUGUGGUCUGAGUGAGCGGAGGUGCAUUCUGGGAUACAGAGCUGUCUGAAGUCUACAGGUCUGUAGACACGCCCCCUCAGGGGAAACCGAGUGUUUCAGAAACUGUCGUGACGUCAGUUACAUGGACUGGAAUGUUCUUAAAGAUGGAGACAGGGAUUCAGAAGGAGAAACACCAGGGGGAGAUGAGGGGGCUCCUCAUUUCAAUGACUAAAACACAACUUCAGUCUGACACAAAGAACCACGGAACACAUUCAACAGUCUCCUCCAGGCAUCGUGACUCCUCGGGAACAGUUUCAUUUCCAAGAAGGUCUUAUUUGGGGCCAUCCCCAUAUGGAUCCUGCUCCUCAAGAGCCACCCCCCUCCACUGGGUGGUCUUCUGCACAGAUGACCUCCUUCAUGUCCUCAGGCUGACUAAAGCUGCGCCGUUUGCUCUGUGAAGGCCCGUCAUUCAGGACACCAAUGGACUACAAAGACAUGACUUCAGAGACGUUGAAUCAACCUGGGACACAUUUUGGAGACGUCACGCAUAAUCCAUCACCAAUGUGGGACGCCACUGAAGAAUGUUGUGCAUAAUUUACGUCUCUGGAGACAUUGGUUGUUCUGUUAUGGGUGCCCUGGCAGGAGAGCGGGGGGGGGGGGGGUGUGUGGUGUUAUUUGGCAUGAGGUUUUAACCCUGCAUGAUUGUUUGGCCUUUUAUGGCUCAGUGGUGUGUUUGUGUUUGGCAUGAGAUGGAUGAUUUUUGAGCAUUGCUAGGGUUCUACUGUGUGUGUCUCACACCUGGCAUGGGGUUCUACGUGCCUGUCCUGGGUUCUGUGUGUGUGUCCGGCUUGCUUUUACAGUGAUAAUGUUCAUACGGGGGUCUGUGUGAUUGGCUUGGGAUAUUGGAAUGGUCAAAUAAAUCCUACCUGAUGGACGGCCACAGGUUUCCUUAAAGGCCUCCAGUAGACAUGAAGAGCCCUGAGCAACGCUCCGGAGCGAUAUCCAAAACACUGGGCAGGAAGGAGAGUAUCCAAAUCAAGUGUAAAAGGAUGCAAGCGGCGUGUUCAGUUCAGUGACUUCAAACUAGGACUACACCAAUCAGGAUCAAAGGAGGAUGGACACCUAAAGGUAUUCCACAAGGAGAGUCUGAUGUUGGAAAGGGACCUAAAUGGAUAUUCAAGAUGACCUUCAGACCUGUAAUGAGACAGCUCUUCCUACCUGGCUGGAUGAUGGAGAGCCCUGUGGAUCUUGUCUGGCUCUCAGUUGCACGUCUUCUCAGGCUGAACUGUAUAUGUUUCGCACAGGACUAGCUGAACGAUUGGUUCCCUUAAUUCAGAAUCAAUCCGGGAACGCUCUUCGAGCUGAAGUUGUGCGCUUCAGCUGAGGAGGUAAGGAAACCUUCACUGGGGCUUCAAGGUGUAAAGAGGAGAAUGUUUCAAAGUGUUCCAUGGUACUCUGAUGAAGACCGUUGUUGUGUUCCACUGGCUGAAAGGAAGAACACGCGCAUCUUCCUCUUGGCCUUUCUCCUCCGAGAAUCCUGGCGCCAUCUUGAAGGAUAUUCCAGCUCAUGUAACUGAUGUCACGACAGAUUCUCAAACACUUGGUUUCUCCUGAGGGGCGUGUCUAUAGAACUGAAGACUUCAGACAGCACUGUAUCCCAGCAUGCAUCUCUGCUCACUCAGACCACACCCCCAUGAGUAGGAUGUAACACGCUAGUGAUGGAGAUGUAGAGUUUUAUAAGAAACAAGGGAGCAGACAAAGGUGAUUAGAACCCAAUGGAAUGCCAAGUCUGUAAAUCUUUAAACCAUGAAGAUGGUUGGAUAGUUCAGGAAUUGGGCUUAUUUUUAUUAUGGGCAGUCCUUUCGCUCAGAUGCCCACUUCUCACUGGAGCUGUACAUGUGUUGGCUGGCUGGCAUGAUUUGCUGUUGGUGAUGAGGCGUUCAAGGUGACUUUGCAGGGCUAUGGUCGGCUCUCUGUGAGCUCAACGUUUAGAUUUGCUCUGUAUGGUUUGUACCCUGAAUAAUCUAGAUAAUUGUAAAAUGUAGACACGGUUUUGUAUUGAAUGGUUCCAGGAUUUUACGUUUAAAGUUGUCGUGGGACGUACAUGGUAGUUAAGUUUCUUCGUACGUUUUUGAGUGAUAUAACAUGUACACACUGGGUGCAUAAUAAUUUAAAGGUACACUCAAUAGUAGUAAUGACCAACAGCAACAAACAGAUCUCCUCAAGGUAAGUCUGUUGGCUGUGUUUUUAAUGAAGACCAUCGCUGGACUUCAGGAUCUUCCUCCGUUCAGCUCAAGGUGAGGCGCUGUUUCUGGUUUUUCUUUGGUUGGUUCCGGCCGGAAUGUUCGGAUUCCAGUCGGACGGUUUGUGCUUCCCGCCGUGGAAGGUUAUGAGUGCGGUCACUUGAUUUAGUCCCAAUGGUUAGCAUAGAACGUUGUAGUCUUGACAACCAUAAGAAACCACCUGGCAGUUAGUUGGACGGGAGUCCCCUGAGGGAAUCUGGCGGAACGUUCUGGAUUGUAUUUGCGUAACCUCGAGCCGUUGCCAACGGAAACUAUUUUUCAGUCAGUUUCCAUUGGGAAUGGUUGCCCCCCCAUAUUAAACAACUUGAGUUUGAUAUUAAAUACAUACUGGCACGUACGUCGUACAUUAUGUUGAUCAUUUCCGAUGGUUGCGCCGUACUUUUAACCACGAUGACGUGACGGGUCUCUCACUGCGUACAAAACAGCGUUCUACUUGCGGGCCCAUUUUUGACAUCAGUGAAGGCUGAAAAUCAUUUCAAGGUGGAAGAUAAUUUGACAUUUCUUCAACGGAACCCAGCACCUGAAUAUGGCUGAGUAUAUUUGAUUUAAUAUCGAUACUGCUUAGUGUUCUUUGUUACUUCAGCUUUUGUACUUUCUAAAUAUCUGCUGUCAUUAAUUGCCACAGAAGUUAAACCCUACCCAAUGGAAUGACAUUAAACAACGACUUUGGUGCAGAGUUACCAACUGGAUAUCAAAGCUAAAAUAAUGGCCGUCCUUCCCACAUGUUACAGUAGAAGAUACUCUAGAACUGUACAAGGUUAAAAAGGUGACAUGUAGUUUGUCCUAAGGUAUCUGCCUCCUCACCCAGAGCAAGACCUCCACCUCCUCACCCAGAGCCAGACCUUCACCUCCUGUCAGAAGUCCUCCAGAACAGGCGAGGCUGAGAGGCUGGGGACCGGACACUUGUGGUUCCAGGAUGGACCGGAGACUGAGGCUGGAGACCAGGGGCCUGCAGCACCGGACCAGGGGUAACCAUCACCAAGCUCAUCUGAAACACGAAAAUCCACGGUAGUUUAGACCAGGAAUCCAUGGCUGAAGGAGGUGAUGGAGGAGCCAUGCUGAAGGAACUGAAGGAGCUGAUGGAGGAGCUGUGCUGAAAGAGCUGAUGGAGGAGCCGUGCUGAUGGAGGAGUCGUGCUGAAGGCCCUGGCUGGUGGAGGAGCUGGUGGGGGGGGCCCUGCCUGGUGAAGGACGUCUGUCGUGGGACCAGGACUCUGUCUGAGGAGAGCUGCUGGAGGAGCUGAGACGCUGGAGGAUGACUAGGAAUCGACCAACAAGGAUUCCGCAACGUGUUUCUGGAGCGGAGGCU
ensembl:lncRNA